rnacentral:rRNA from 1 species
AGAUUGACGCUGGCGGCAGGCCUAACACAUGCAAGUCGAACGGUAACAGGAAACAGCUUGCUGUUUCGCUGACGAGUGGCGGACGGGUGAGUAAUGUCUGGGAAACUGCCUGAUGGAGGGGGAUAACUACUGGAAACGGUAGCUAAUACCGCAUAACGUCGCAAGACCAAAGAGGGGGACCUUCGGGCCUCUUGCCAUCGGAUGUGCCCAGAUGGGAUUAGCUUGUUGGUGGGGUAACGGCUCACCAAGGCGACGAUCCCUAGCUGGUCUGAGAGGAUGACCAGCCACACUGGAACUGAGACACGGUCCAGACUCCUACGGGAGGCAGCAGUGGGGAAUAUUGCACAAUGGGCGCAAGCCUGAUGCAGCCAUGCCGCGUGUAUGAAGAAGGCCUUCGGGUUGUAAAGUACUUUCAGCGGGGAGGAAGGGAGUAAAGUUAAUACCUUUGCUCAUUGACGUUACCCGCAGAAGAAGCACCGGCUAACUCCGUGCCAGCAGCCGCGGUAAUACGGAGGGUGCAAGCGUUAAUCGGAAAUUACUGGGCGUAAAGCGCACGCAGGCGGUUUGUUAAGUCAGAUGUGAAAUCCCCGGGCUCAACCUGGGAACUGCAUCUGAUACUGGCAAGCUUGAGUCUCGUAGAGGGGGGUAGAAUUCCAGGUGUAGCGGUGAAAUGCGUAGAGAUCUGGAGGAAUACCGGUGGCGAAGGCGGCCCCCUGGACGAAGACUGACGCUCAGGUGCGAAAGCGUGGGGAGCAAACAGGAUUAGAUACCCUGGUAGUCCACGCCGUAAACGAUGUCGACUUGGAGGUUGUGCCCUUGAGGCGUGGCUUCCGGAGCUAACGCGUUAAGUCGACCGCCUGGGGAGUACGGCCGCAAGGUUAAAACUCAAAUGAAUUGACGGGGGCCCGCACAAGCGGUGGAGCAUGUGAUUUAAUUCGAUGCAACGCGAAGAACCUUACCUGGUCUUGACAUCCACGGAAGUUUUCAGAGAUGAGAAUGUGCCUUCGGGAACCGUGAGACAGGUGCUGCAUGGCUGUCGUCAGCUCGUGUUGUGAAAUGUUGGGUUAAGUCCCGCAACGAGCGCAACCCUUAUCCUUUGUUGCCAGCGGUCCGGCCGGGAACUCAAAGGAGACUGCCAGUGAUAAACUGGAGGAAGGUGGGGAUGACGUCAAGUCAUCAUGGCCCUUACGACCAGGGCUACACACGUGCUACAAUGGCGCAUACAAAGAGAAGCGACCUCGCGAGAGCAAGCGGACCUCAUAAAGUGCGUCGUAGUCCGGAUUGGAGUCUGCAACUCGACUCCAUGAAGUCGGAAUCGCUAGUAAUCGUGGAUCAGAAUGCCACGGUGAAUACGUUCCCGGGCCUUGUACACACCGCCCGUCACACCAUGGGAGUGGGUUGCAAAAGAAGUAGGUAGCUUAACCUUCGGGAGGGCGCUUACCACUUUGUGAUCAUGA